CGGGUGAGUAACACGGUGGGACAACCUCGCCCGAGCUCUGGGAUAACUCCGGGAAACCGGGGCUAAUACCGGAUAUGACCUUUGAAGACAUCUUCUUUGGUGGAAAGUUUUUCGGCUCGGGAUGGGCCCGCGGCCUAUCAGCUUGUUGGUGGGGUAACGGCCUACCAAGGCGACGACGGGUAGCCGGCCUGAGAGGGCGACCGGCCACACUGGGACUGAGACACGGCCCAG
rnacentral:rRNA from 1 species